rnacentral:lncRNA from 1 species
GGUCAGUGAGGCGGGCGCAUGAGGGAUGAGGGCCGGGUCGAGCGUCACGAGCAUGCAAAUAAGACCUGUGGAAACGCUGCGGGAGACCGUCUGCGGCGCCCCGGGUCUCCUGUUUGGAUGGAAUCUGGGAACCCGAAGCCACCAUUUGAGAAUCUAAGCUGGGAACAGGCUGAGAGCCCCUGCCCGUAACCCCCCCACCCCCGUCCCAGCUAACGCCCCGCCCCCCCCAGAGGUCCGGAAACGGACGUGAUGGAUACGGAAGUAGCCUGCUGUUGCCGAGGGGACGGGACGGGCAGAUGCCAACAUGGCAGCGGUUGGGGUUGGUGGAUCUACCGCUGCGGCCGGGGCUGGGGCUGUGUCCUCGGGCGCGUUGGAACCUGGGUCCACUACAGCGGGUGAGGUGGCCUGACGUAGAGGCGUUGCCUAAUCGGAGGUCGGGAUUCUUGAGGGUGGGAUGAACCUAGACUGAAGUGACAGCUCAUCCCGUGUGAACGGACCUACGUGUUAGUGUAUGUGUGCGUGCGUUGUGAGGAAAAAGGAAGGAGAGAAUGGACCAUCGUAUGUUGCGGAUAGGAAUCGGUCGUUCUAUGGGUGACUGUGGCUGGGGUCCUGGAUUUUCAAAUAAAGACCGUUGUGAAUGUGCGGGGAAUUUCCUUUUGAGGAGGGCAAGAACAUUGAUAAUGUUCAGAGGGGGAUGGUAAUCCCUAACUGUGGAAGGGAGCGACGAUUGUCGGGGUGAGAGUUCUUCCUUAUAGAAGGGUGGUGGCUUCCUUAUAAAGGGACCUUAUAAAUUGUCAGGGUGGGGCACAUCCUUGUAUGACUAGUGGAUCCAUUUUGAGCAUGAAGCUGCCCUUCAUUACAUGGAGAGAAUAUCCUGAGGAUGUUCCUCCCAAAUGGAGCUAGUUCUAUUUGUGUUGAGGUGGGAGAGUUCCUUCUUAUAGGUCAGAAAGAACAUUCUGAGGGGGCCAAGUGCUUCUACAUGGUAGAGAGAGCUCAUUGCAAGUGUGGGUAGAACAAAGACUAAUUCAUUGGCUGGGAGAAGGACGUACAGUAGAGGGAGGAUGGGCCAUAUGCAGUAGGGAAGUAUUUCCAUAUGUGAUUAAAGUAAUCAAACUAUUGGGGUAAUCAUAUGGGAUGGAGAAAUAGAACAAGCCUCAGGAGGUGGACAUCUUUAAACAAUUGUCCCAUUCAUUAUAUUGCAACAUUAUUUCAUUUAUAGGACAUUCCUACAAGUAGAAGCAUCACUUCAUAGAAAUCCUCAAUUUCCUUAUCCACAAAAUGGACAUUUUCCUAGUACCUUUAGAAAUCAAGUGAUGGGAAUCUGUGUAAAUCCCUUAGUACAGUGAUAGGCAUAGUGUAGGUAUUCAAUAAAUAUUGGCAAUGCUGUCUGAGAAAGAGUGGCUUCCCCAGGAAUGGAGAAGAAGCAAACAUGUGUGUCCAGAGCCUGCCCUGGUCAUUUUCUUAUACAAAGGGUUUCAGAUUAAGAGCUAGUCAGACUGGAGCCCACUUCUCCCUGUCUUGCUCCUUUUUGCCAGUAGCUGAGGGUGUGGAAACAGGUCCAGAUCAGACUCUCAUUGAGUUAAGAUGGGCAAGCAGAGGAAGUCCCAAGAGCCAGAAGAUUUUUGAUUGAGAAAAGAGGAAUGAGGUGGGUGGCCAUACCCCAGUAGCCUCUGACUCCUUCCUCCUAUGUGUUCCUUCCACUCCCUGCAGCUCACCGGCGCCUCAAGUAUAUAUCCUUAGCUGUGCUGGUGGUCCAGAAUGCCUCCCUCAUCCUCAGCAUCCGCUACGCUCGCACACUGCCUGGGGACCGCUUCUUUGCCACCACUGCUGUGGUCAUGGCUGAAGUGCUCAAAGGUCUCACCUGUCUCCUGCUGCUCUUCGCACAAAAGAGGGGUAUGAGUCACCAAUGGGGUUGGUUGGUGGGACUCCCUAAGUUAAGGGUGUAAGUACCCCUGGGAGGUUUGCUGGGAGAGUAGACUGGUGUGUCUGAGGAUGCUUGAGGAGUAGGUAGGAGCUUUUAAGCUUCCUGACCACUGCAGCUAUGUGAAGUUGCAUCUCCACGUGGAUAUUCCUUAUACCUGAGAACUACACCAGUGAGAUUGACUGCCCACAGGCAACAGAAGACCCACGGUGAUUGAAAGGUAGAGGCAUGAAGAUCAGGAGCUCAAGAUAACAUAAGUUCAAGGUUAGCCUCAGCUACAUGUGAUUAUCUG